rnacentral:rRNA from 1 species
UUAUACAACUUUCAACAACGGAUCUCUUGGCUCUCGCAUCGAUGAAGAACGCAGCGAAAUGCGAUAAGUAAUGUGAAUUGCAGAAUUCAGUGAAUCAUUGAAUCUUUGAACGCACCUUGCGCUCCUUGGUAUUCCGAGGAGCAUGCCUGUUU